GAUCUGCUGGAACUCAACUGACGCUAAGGCGCGAAAGCGUGGGGAGCAAACAGGAUUAGAUACCCUGGUAGUCCACGCCCUAAACGAUGUACACUAGUUGUUGGGGUGCUAGUCAUCUCAGUAAUGCAGCUAACGCAUUAAGUGUACCGCCUGGGGAGUACGGUCGCAAGAUUAAAACUCAAAGGAAUAGACGGGGACCCGCACAAGCGGUGGAGCAUGUGGUUUAAUUCGAAGAUACGCGAAGAACCUUACCUGGGCUUGAUAUCCUAAGAACCUUUUAGAGAUAAGAGGGUGCUAGCUUGCUAGAACUUAGAGACAGGUGCUGCACGGCUGUCGUCAGCUCGUGUCGUGAGAUGUUGGGUUAAGUCCCGCAACGAGCGCAACCCACGUAUUUAGUUGCUAACGGUUCGGCCGAGCACUCUAAAUAGACUGCCUUCGUAAGGAGGAGGAAGGUGUGGACGACGUCA
rnacentral:rRNA from 1 species